UACGUAGGGGGCGAGCGUUAUCCGGAAUUACUGGGCGUAAAGCGCACGCAGGCGGCCUCGCAAGUUCAGCGUGACAGUCAUCAGCUUCACUGAUGAAGGUCGCUGAAAACUGGGAGGCUUGAGGGCCAGAGAGGGACAUGGAAUUCCGGGUGGAGCAGUGAAAUGCGUAGAGAUCCGGAGGAACACCAAAGGCGAAGGCAGUGUCCUGGCUGGUCCCUGACGCUCAGGUGCGAAGGCCAGGGGAG
rnacentral:rRNA from 1 species